ACGAACGCUGGCGGCGUGCUUCACACAUGCAAGUCGAACGGAAAGGCCCUGCUUUUGUGGGGUGCUCGGGUGGCGAACGGGUGAGUAACACGUGAGUAACCUGCCCUUGACUUUGGGAUAACUUCAGGAAACUGGGGCUAAUACCGGAUAGGAGCUCCUGCUGCAUGGUGGGGGUUGGAAAGUUUCGGCGGUUGGGGAUGGACUCGCGGCUUAUCAGCUUGUUGGUGGGGUAGUGGCUUACCAAGGCUUUGACGGGUAGCCGGCCUGAGAGGGUGACCGGCCACAUUGGGACUGAGAUACGGCCCAGACUCCUACGGGAGGCAGCAGUGGGGAAUAUUGCACAAUGGGCGGAAGCCUGAUGCAGCAACGCCGCGUGCGGGAUGACGGCCUUCGGGUUGUAAACCGCUUUCGCCUGUGACGAAGCGUGAGUGACGGUAAUGGGUAAAGAAGCACCGGCUAACUACGUG
rnacentral:rRNA from 1 species